rnacentral:misc_RNA from 1 species
AUUGGAAGUUAUCUUAUCAGGCUAAUACAGAAGGGCAAAGCACAAUCUGGGACAGGGUUUGGAAUUGGAUUCUCAAAUCACACAGUUUCUGGAGAAUUUUAUUUCCCAAAUCACAAGAGCUCGUUGAAUCAUCAGCUCGGGGAUACAAUAAGAUCAGAUACGUGAUAUGGCGAAUCUCUAUGUGAAGGCGGUUCCGCCGGCGGAUCUGAACAGGAACACCGAGUGGUUCAUGUACCCAGGGGUGUGGACUACCUACAUACUCAUCUUGUUCUUCUCCUGGCUUCUCGUGCUCUCCAUCUUUGGCUGCUCUCCUGGCAUGGCCUGGACCAUCGUCAAUCUCGCCCACUUCUGUAUCACUUAUCACUUCUUCCACUGGAAGAAGGGAACACCAUUUGCAGAAGACCAGGGGAUAUAUAAUAGGCUAACUUGGUGGGAACAGAUAGAUAAUGGACAGCAGCUUACACGCAACAGAAAGUUCCUAACAGUUGUUCCUGUGGUGUUGUAAGCUCUCUAUUUUUUAGUUUUAACUUUAUGAAUGCUUGCAUUGCGCCAGUAACCUUUUUAAUUUCUUCUUUCUCUGCAGACUUAUUCACAGUUUCCAAUAAGUAUGCAUGUUCAGCAAUGUUUUCUUGAGUUGCUUUAUUUUCUUUUUGUAACCUUUGGAAUUUGAUAAUGUUCAUGUUGAAUGUCUGAUUGUAUAAAUGUAUGAAAAUCAUUGUUAAGUCAUUCAGCUCUGGGCUAAUUGGGAAAAUCAUUGUUAAGUCAUAUGUUAAGGGCUGAGUUUUUAUAUCACAUUGUUGUUGUCUGUGGAGUAAAAUUUGAAUUAAAUUGCAUGGCAAUUGGCAAUUGCUUGUAAUGGGAAUUCAUACAAUAUAAUGACUUUCCAUUAAGUUAUAUGUCAGAAUUCAUGUUGGGUUAGAUUGCUUCGGAGGAAGAUAGUGCAUGUUACAUGGUUUAGCUUUAAAUAUGGUGGUAGAAUCAAUAUGCAAGUAAUUUGCUAUCUGGUGAAAAUGGAAAAGAGGAUACAAUUUUAUUGUCCAAACCAACGUUUUCCUGUGAUAAACAAAUAAAUCUAUAAAAGGCAGGGUAGACCAUGUUAUGCUAAAGGGACUUUAUUUAUUUCCCACGUCACAUAAAGUAUAUACCAUGUCAAUAAUUCAGAUUUUUUCUCGAGUUUGAAUUGUUGUGAGCUAGACUAAAAGGGCAUAGUCAGUCAACAUUUAUGCUUGAUAUCUAGUUGUAUGAUCGCUCGACCUUACAUCUAUUAGCAUAUUUCCUACCUCUUGCGUUGACUUGUUCAAAGUUUGUAAUUGAGGUACCAGCUGGGGGUUGGUUUAGUUAGUACGCUUGCAGGCAAUUGCAAGUAAGGGCGAUGGAUUUGGUACCCUUUAUCUAAGGACCAAAAACAGUUGAGAGUUCUAAUUGUGAGUCUCUGGUAUGAUUGCUUGUCUUUUUCUGUUUUAAAGUCAAAAAUAUACACAAGAUACCCUUUUCUCUUCCCGUUAAAUGUAUAUUUUAGUUGCAUUACUGUUGUAUGCUUUUUUGAAUUAUUAAAAAACAAUCAUAUUCUCAGAUAAUUAAUGGAUUGUAUAUGGUUAUUGUUUAGGUCACUUUAUGCAUUAAUCUUGAAUUUUACUGCAAUGUUUGAGAUUGAAGUUAUGCUUACGUUUCCUCUCUGCCAGGUACUUGAUAGCCUCACACACGACCGACUAUCAACAUCCAAUGCUCUUCUUCAACACACUUGCAGUGAUAGUGCUCGUUAUUGCCAAGUUCCCAAAUAUGCACAAGGUUCGGAUCUUUGGAAUUAAUGCAGACACGUGAGCUGGACUUGUGUUAAAAAUGGUUGUUUUAGCCUGUUUAAAAGCCACUGUUCACUGAUCCAUCUGCUGCUCAGCUUAAAGGUUGUAUCUCUGUGUAGAAAUCAGAACUGGAAGGCUGUUUGAAUAUGUAAUGUUUUUAUGCUACUUUUACAAGCCAUCUCAGAUGAUGAUAAAAUAAAAGUAUCAGGUUAUCUUUGUACAGUAGAGAAAGUUUUAUAUCCUUAGACGUAUUAAAAUUUUUUACUUUAUUAUCAGUGUCAUUUUUUUAAUGUUUUCUUGUACAACAGAACUCGAAUCUCAUAAAUGCCUUGAGUUACAUCAUUUCAACCUGCAAAA